GACGUAGGGCGCGAGCGUUUGUCCGGAUUUAUUGGGCGUAAAGAGCUCGUAGGCGGCUUGUCACGUCGGAUGUGAAAGCCCGAGGCUUAACCUCGGGUCUGCAUUCGAUACGGGCUAGCUAGAGUGUGGUAGGGGAGAUCGGAAUUCCUGGUGUAGCGGUGAAAUGCGCAGAUAUCAGGAGGAACACCGGUGGCGAAGGCGGAUCUCUGGGCCAUUACUGACGCUGAGGAGCGAAAGCGUGGGGAGCGAACAGG
rnacentral:rRNA from 1 species